CGGGGGCACGGGGGGCCUACGAGAGGCAGCAGUGACGAAUUUUCCACAAUGGGCGAAAGCCUGAUGGACCAACGCCGCGUGCAGGAUGAAGGCCUUCGGGUCGUAAACUGCUUUUAUAAGUGAAGAUUAUGACGGUAACUUAUGAAUAAGCACCGGCUAAUA
rnacentral:rRNA from 1 species